UACGAAGGGUGCUAGCGUUGUUCGGAAUUACUGGGCGUAAAGCGCGCGUAGGCGGCUUGACAAGUCAGGGGUGAAAUCCCACAGCUCAACUGUGGAAUUGCCUUUGAAACUGUCAGGCUUGAGUGUCGGAGGGGAUAGCGGAAUUGCUAAUGUAGAGGUGAAAUUCGUAGAUAUUAGCAGGAACACCGGUGGCGAAGGCGGCUAUCUGGACGACAACUGACGCUGAGGCGCGAAAGCGUGGGGAUCAAACAGG
rnacentral:rRNA from 1 species